rnacentral:rRNA from 1 species
CAGUGCCGCGGUAAUACGUAGGGUGCAAGCGUUAAUCGGAAUUACUGGGCGUAAAGCGUGCGCAGGCGGUUAUAUAAGACAGAUGUGAAAUCCCCGGGCUCAACCUGGGAACUGCAUUUGUGACUGUAUAGCUAGAGUACGGCAGAGGGGGAUGGAAUUCCGCGUGUAGCAGUGAAAUGCGUAGAUAUGCGGAGGAACACCGAUGGCGAAGGCAAUCCCCUGGGCCUGUACUGACGCUCAUGCACGAAAGCGUGGGGAGCAAACAGGAUUAGAUACCCCCGUAGUCCCUGUCUCUUAUACA